GAUGAACGCUAGCGGCAGGCUUAACACAUGCAAGUCGAGGGGUAUAGUUCUUCGGAAUUAGAGACCGGCGCACGGGUGCGUAACGCGUAUGCAAUCUACCUUUCACAGAGGGAUAGCCCCAGAGAAAUUUGGAUUAAUACCUCAUAGUAUAGCAGUUUCGCAUGAAACCACUAUUAAAGUCACAACGGUGAAAGAUGAGCAUGCGUCCCAUUAGCUAGUUGGUAAGGUAACGGCUUACCAAGGCAACGAUGGGUAGGGGUCCUGAGAGGGAGAUCCCCCACACUGGUACUGAGACACGGACCAGACUCCUACGGGAGGCAGCAGUGAGGAAUAUUGGACAAUGGGCGCAAGCCUGAUCCAGCCAUGCCGCGUGCAGGAAGACGGUCCUAUGGAUUGUAAACUGCCUUUUAUACAGGAAGAAACACUCCGACGUGUCGGGAGCUUGACGGUACU
rnacentral:rRNA from 1 species